rnacentral:rRNA from 1 species
AUGUAUUGGAAAUCUCAACUAAAAAUAGAACUGUAUUUUCUAUUAGAUCCAAAGAUCCUCCUGCGCUUAGAUAACAAAACAACAUCAUCUCAGACCAUUUUGCGAUUCCUGAUCCAUAUAGGAAGGUUAGAAAAGUUCAACUUAAACAAGAAAAAGAAAUAUGUGUUCAAGCAUUGUCUACUUAAGGACUCUGAACCUUCUGAACAUUCAGAACACAAACUAAAUUUGAAGCUGGCCAAAACAGGAGAAAAGCAUCAUUCAAUUUGCCGCCUUCACUCAAGAUUCAUCGAUGGUUCAGGAGUCACCAAGUGA